UAAGUCGCCCUCCCAAUGUGUGGCCAUGUGCAAAACAAUAAAUAAGAAAAUAACUUUAGCUGUCAAUCACUCGUUUCUCGUUUCUUUCUGAAUCGUUUCAUCCACAUCUCAAUACUUAUCCUCACCCAAAGCAAUCUCCUUACAAUUCUUACAUAUUUGGUCCGAGCCCGCUGCCCCAAGUUGAAAAUUUCAUCACCCCAAACCAAAUCCAAACAAGGAAAUAAUAUUAAGAUUGACUGAAUCAUCUCCAACGUUUGGCUUACGAUAUAGACUUUUUUUUGGCUACUGAUGGAUAGUCUAUGUCGUAAGCCAAAUGUUGGAGAUAGUUCGUUCAGCUGGUACAGGAACUUGCAGCAAGAGAUCUGUCACUAAAAAAGGAUGGAUGGUCACUAAAUAUAAAGUUAUAUAUACUAAAUAUCGGACCUUUGUUUGUUUGAUCUACGGACGCCAAUUGUUGGUAUGGGGCCUUAUUCGCAAAACAACUUAAUUUAGGUUGACUUUUGUAUGAUGAUAAGCAAGUGAAUAAUUGGUUUGUAAUCAUACUUUCAUUAUAAGCAAAGUUAUCUUUCCAUAUAUGACUGGUGAAGAGAAGGAAUUUUAGGACUUAGAUCUACUUCAAAUAGUUCUUAUAGAUCAACUUACCAGUAAAUGAUGUUUUCAUAGAGUUGUACUUCAAGUUUUAAGAAGAUUUUGGGUAACUUACUUUAGCUAUAACACUCAAAUACGAUCAAUGUAUGUAAACUAUACAGGCUGCACAUGUUUUUCUGUUAAUAUUUGUAACCAAUUUGAGAUAAACUAAGAUACCGCAGGUGCUUCAAGUUGCCAAGUACUUUGUCUAUCUCCAAUUAACUCUGACAAAGAAACCUUAACAACGGUAACUGGGGAAGUAGGUCAACCAAAAUUAUGUGCAUAUCCGUGUCUGAUCACCGAGGAUUAUGUGAUUGAGAAGGCAGACUUGAUUCUCAUGUGGUUGGGAAAGGGGUUUCUGCAAUAAUCAACCACAAGCAAGUCAAUGGAACGAUUGGGUGAGGAGUAUUUUGAUGAGUUGUCAAGGUCAUUUUUUGACCAUGAGUUAAGUUGUACUGGGAUGCAAGUGGGUGUCAUUCCACCUAUAGAACACGAUUUUGGUUGACCUACUUCCCCGACACUGUGUUAAGGGUUCUUUGUUUGAGUAACUUGGAGAUAUACGAAGUACCAGAGUCCAUUGGCAACUUGAAGCACUUGCGGUAUCUUUAUUUAUCUAAAACUGGAAUACGAUAUUUACUGGAUAAUAUGUGCAGUUUUUGUAAUUUAUAGAUAUUGAUCGUAUAUGGUUGUUACAUUUUGAGUAAGUUGUCAAACAAUUUCUUAAAGCUUAAAAACUGGCGGUACUUGGACAAUAAGGAUACUCUGUUUCUAGAAAACAUGCCUUUAGGAAUUGGUGUGAUGAAAAGCCUAAAGACUCUAUUUAAGAUUGUUAUUGAAAGAGAAAAUGAGUUUGCAAUUAGUGGGCAUUGGAACUUAAUAUGCCAAAGCCUUUCUGUUCAUGGGCUAGACAAAUUGCAAAACAAUGAUCAAGCACAGAAGGUGAAAGUGUCACAAUUGAGGCUUAGAGAGUUAAUGGUGGAAUAGGUUAAUGUGUUUGAUGGGCCUCGUAAACAUAUAUGUGAAAAAUAGGUCCUGAAUGUGCUUAAGCCUCAUAGUGAUCCAUCAUUUAUUAGGUUGACUGUUGUUUCAUUCAAUAUGUGUAGAAAUUGUAUGUUUCUUCCAUCACUCAAUAAAUUGUCUAUUGGAGACAUGGAUAAUGUGAAAGAGGUAGGAUCAGAAUUAUUGGGAACUGGUUGUGUACUUGUGUCCUCCCUUCACCCGAGAUUUUGAAAUUCUAAACAUGCCAGAGUGGGAGGUAUGGUCAACCAAUGCCGGUAUAGUAGAUGUGUUUCCAUGCUUUCAAGAACUUCGUAUAGGAAAGUGUGCUAACUUGGUUAAAGUAUCACUAAAGCGCUACAUUUGCCAAGGGUUCUAAAGUAAAAAUCUGAGUAUAAAAGGUAUUUCAGGACUUACCAAUGAGGUGUUGUACAGUAUUUGGAAGUAGUUGAAGAAGUAAGAAUUGAGAAGUGUAAUGAUGUAUAUUUGUGGGAAUCAGCAGAGGCAUGUAAGCUUCUAGUGAAUUUAAACAAGUUGGAUAUAUGGAAUUAUGAGAAGUUGGUGAGAUAAGGAAAGAAAGAAGAGGAAGCUAAUAGCAAUGAGAGAAAGCUGCUAACAUCUCUUAGGAUGUUACAGGUAUGGCAGGGAUGUAAGAUAUUCGAGUACUCAGUUGUCCAAAUAGCAUUGAAGAGUGGAGAAUCAACUGGUGUAGUUCGAUUACAUCAACCUACUUUGCAGCAGGAGGAUGGCAGAGGCUCUAGUUACUUACAAUUAAACGAAUGCAAUGGCCUUAUCUAGAAAGAGUUGAAAAAGGUGUUGGCGAUCAACACAAACAUGUCACCCCUGCUUCAAGUAUUGCACAUAAGCCACUGGUGGUAAUCAAUUGUCUCAUCUUCUUCCUUCAUUCUUACUAUACUUGCAUUAUGGGAAUUUAAGAAAUUGGAAUCACUUUCAAGGGAUUCCAACUCCUCAUCUCUCUUCAAGUGAUAUGGUUUUGCCCAAAGACGAAAAAUUUACUAGAAAUGCUGUUGUCUUCACUUUUGAGCUUGACUAUCAGAGGAUACACAAAUGAAGAGCUGAAUAGAAGAGGCUCAUAUCGGCCUCGUUCUCUCCCAUGUCCCUUACGUCAACAUAGACAUGGCUGAUCAGUUCUCAAGUGAUUUAAGGUCUAAACUGCAAGGCACCCCUUAUUGCAUUCGGCAAAUCAAAGUUUGAAGUUGAAAAACUCAAGAUUUCCAAUGAUCCCGGGACAGUUACAGAUACUUGUUUCCAAAUGCUGAGAUUCAGGAUAGCCAUAAAUUUCAAGCAUUGGUGUGAAAAACAUCUGUAACCAUUUUAUUUGAUAUUAUAAUUCUUCACAAUAAGACCAAUAUAGUAGUCUAGUUUGUUAAACAUUAAACGUAAUAGUUGUAAAAAUAAAAUCUACAUGGCUACAUAGCUAUCACAAUUUAUGCUUUCCUCUC